rnacentral:rRNA from 1 species
GACGAACGCUGGCGGCGCGCCUAACACAUGCAAGUCGAGCGAUGAAAUUUUAACCGCUCUCUUCGGAGAGAAGAUAAAAUGGAUUAGCGGCGGACGGGUGAGUAACACGUGAGAAACCUGCCUUUCACAAGGGGAUAGCCUCGGGAAACCGGGAUUAAUACCCUAUGACACAUUUCCUUCGCAUGGAAGAAAUGUUAAAACUCCGGUGGUGAAAGAUGGUCUCGCGCCUGAUUAGCUAGUUGGUGGGGUAACGGCCCACCAAGGCCAUGAUCAGUAACCGGCCUGAGAGGGGGAACGGUCACAUUGGAACUGAGACACGGUCCAAACUCCUACGGGAGGCAGCAGUGGGGAAUAUUGCACAAUGGAGGAAACUCUGAUGCAGCGACGCCGCGUGAGCGAUGAAGGCUUUCGAGUCGUAAAGCUCUGUCCUAUGGGAAGAUAAUGACGGUACCAUAGGAGGAAGCCCCGGCUAACUACGUG